rnacentral:rRNA from 1 species
UACGGAGGGUGCAAGCGUUGUUCGGAAUUAUUGGGCGUAAAGGGCAGGUAGGUGGUCCCAAAAGUCUACUGUGAAAUCCCCGGGCUUAACUCGGGAAGUGCGGUAGAUACUCUGGGACUAGAGUGCUGGAGGGGUUCGUGGAAUUCCCGGUGUAGCGGUGAAAUGCGUAGAUAUCGGAAGGAACGCCGGUGGCGAAAGCGGCGCGCUGGACCUCUUCUGACGCUGAGGCGCGAAAGCCAGGGGAGCAAACGGG